ensembl:lncRNA
AUGGCAGCACUUCCGGUCACUGUGUCACACUUUAGUUACUGUCACACCUCUACAGCAGCACUUCCGGUCACUGUGUCACACUUGGGUUACUGUCACACCUCUAUAGCAGCACUUCCGGUCACUGUGUCACACUUUGGUUACUGUCACACCUCUACAGCAGCACUUCUGGUCACUGUGUCACACUUUGGUUACUGUCACACUUCUAUAGCAGCACUUCCGGUCACUAUGUCACACUUUGGUUACUGUCACACUUCUAUGACAGCACUUCCGGUCACUGUGUCACACUUUGGUUACUGUCACACUUCUACAGCAGCACUUGCGGUCACUGUGUCACACUUUGGUUACUGUCACACUUCUACAGCAGCACUUCCGGUCACUGUGUCACACUUGGGUUACUGUCACACUUCUACAGCAGCACUUCCGGUCACUGUGUCACACUUUGGUUACUGUCACACCUCUACGGCAGCACUUCCAAUUGCUGUGUCACACUUGGGUUACUGUCACACCUCUACAGCAGCACUUCCGGUCACUGUGUCACACUUUGGUUACUGUCACACCUCUACAGCAGCACUUCCGGUCACUGUGUCACACUUUGGUUACUGUCACACCUCUACAGCAGCACUUCUGGUCACUGUGUCACACUUUGGUUACUGUCACACUUCUACAGCAGCACUUGCAGUCACUGUGUCACACUUUGGUUACUGUCACACUUCUACAGCAGCAAUUCCGGUCACUGUGUCACACUUGGGUUACUGUCACACUUCUACAGCAGCACUUGCGGUCACUGUGUCACACUUUGGUUACUGUCACACCUCUACAGCAGCACUUCCGGUCACUGUGUCACACUUGGGUUACUGUCACACCUCUAUAGCAGCACUUCCGGUCACUGUGUCACACUUUGGUUACUGUCACACCUCUACAGCAGCACUUCUGGUCACUGUGUCACACUUUGGUUACUGUCACACUUCUAUAGCAGCACUUCCGGUCACUGUGUCACACUUUGGUUACUGUCACACUUCUAUGACAGCACUUCCGGUCACUGUGUCACACUUUGGUUACUGUCACACUUCUACAGCAGCACUUGCGGUCACUGUGUCACACUUUGGUUACUGUCACACUUCUACAGCAGCACUUCCGGUCACUGUGUCACACUUGGGUUACUGUCACACUUCUACAGCAGCACUUCCGGUCACUGUGUCACACUUUGGUUACUGUCACACCUCUACGGCAGCACUUCCAAUUGCUGUGUCACACUUGGGUUACUGUCACACCUCUACAGCAGCACUUCCGGUCACUGUGUCACACUUUGGUUACUGUCACACCUCUACAGCAGCACUUCCGGUCACUGUGUCACACUUUGGUUACUGUCACACUUCUAUAGCAGCACUUCCGGUCACUGUGUCACACUUGGGUUACUGUCACACCUCUAUAGCAGCACUUCCGGUCACUGUGUCACACUUUGGUUACUGUCACACCUCUACAGCAGCAAUUCCAGUCACUGUGUCACACUUGGGUUACUGUCACACCUUUACAGCAGCACUUCCGGUCACUGUGUCACACUUGGGUUACUGUCACACUUCUACAGCAGCACUUCCGGUCACUGUGUCACACUUUGGUUACUGUCACACCUCUACAGCAGCACUUCCAAUUGCUGUGUCACACUUUGGUUACUGUCACAAUAUUUCACCCUUUUCCAUUAUUAUUCUAUCUGCUAUGGUGAUCCGUGAUCAGAGACUAGUAUAA